UGAUCCUGGCUCAGAAUCAACGCUGGCGGCGUGCCUAACACAUGCAAGUCGAACGCGAAAGUCCCGCAAGGGGUUAGUAGAGUGGCAAACGGGUGAGUAACACGUGGGUGACCUGCCUUCGAGUGGGGGAUAACGUUCCGAAAGGGACGCUAAUACCGCAUGACAUCCUGCCUUUGAAGAGGUGGAGAUCAAAGCUGGGGAUCGCAAGACCUGGCGCUUGAAGAGGGGCCCGCGUCUGAUUAGCUAGUUGGUGGGGUAACGGCUCACCAAGGCAACGAUCAGUAUCCGGCCUGAGAGGGCGGACGGACACAC
rnacentral:rRNA from 1 species